CCUACGGGAGGCAGCAGUGGGGAAUAUUGGGCAAUGGGCGCAAGCCUGACCCAGCAACGCCGCGUGAAGGAAGAAGGCUUUCGGGUUGUAAACUUCUUUUCUGAGGGACGAAGAAAGUGACGGUACCUCAGGAAUAAGCCACGGCUAACUACGUGCCAGCAGCCGCGGUAAUACGUAGGUGGCAAGCGUUAUCCGGAUUUAUUGGGUGUAAAGGGCGUGUAGGCGGGAAAGCAAGUCAGAUGUGAAAACUCAGGGCUCAACCCUGCGCCUGCAUUUGAAACUGUUUUUCUUGAGUGCUGGAGAGGCAAUCGGAAUUCCGUGUGUCGCGGUGAAAUGCGUAGAUAUCCGGAGGAACACCAGUGGCGAAGGCGGUUUGCUGGACAGUACCUGACGCUGAGUCGCGAACGCGUGGGGAGCAAACAGGAUUAGAUACCCGGGUAGUC
rnacentral:rRNA from 1 species